rnacentral:lncRNA from 1 species
GUACUCAAUCUUUUGUAGUUCACCUCAUUUUAAACACAGUCAUCAAGGGUUGCAGCUUCAUCCAAGCAACUCAUGUCGUAGUUUAGUUGCUACUAUCUCAUGUCAUAGUGCGAGUUUCCAAGUGUGUUGAAAUAGUAACCAAAUUUGUUGCCCAUUGCUUCACUUGGGACUGUUCAGAAUGUUUUAGGGUUGUAUGCACACUUCCACUGUCAUACAUGGAUAUGGAAGAUAUAAGGCAAAAAAAUAACAGGUUUUUAUGUAUCACAAGGGAUGCAAUGCAAGGUAAAGAUUAUAUGUUCAAGAUUGGAAUGUUGACCAUGUUUGUAUUCUUACAUCUAGCUUAAUAUUAAAUUGUGGAAGUAUUGCCACAUGGAGGGUGGCCAAAAGGAAACUUGAGAAUAUAUUAUGUAUCCCUUCUUAUAGUAUAGUUGUUUAUUAAGUGACCAUAGAAAAUAGUUACAGGAUACACAUACGUCAUUUAGCCAAUGGAGUUGCUCCUGGAGGAUGCAAUUCUCCUAAAUUGUUUCACAUUAUUUUAUUGAAGAGAUCUUCUCACACAUGCCCUGCUUGUUUGGGCUGCAAAAAAGGCAAAUCUUUACCCAUCUAUAGUUAGAGUGGUCCCUCCCAAGUUUACUCUUUGAUUUGAAUGGACCCCACCUAUUUUAGCUUAAACCCUAUUGGUCCCCCACUUAAACCUUGCAUAAACAUGAGAUAAUCAUAAAUGGUCCCCUACUAAGUUUAUUAGAGAAAAGUGUAAAAUUUUUGCACUUUUGAAAUAGCACCAAACUUUUGCAUAAAUUUUGUUUAUAAAACUAAUUAUCAAGAGUUUCAAGCAUAUUAAAUUAGGCUAAAUUUCAUGCAAAUUUUUGCGGGGUAACCAAGUAGGGCCACAAUUAAAGUGAACCAGUGACAGAGUUCAACUUGAAGCCACACACACACCUAGAUUGUGCUGCUCACCUUUGUAAUUUAGUAAAUAAUUUUUCUAGUUUUUACACCUGAUUAUCAAGCUCCUUGAUUACUAUCUGAAAAAAAAGGCAGUGAGAUACCCUUAUAGCAUCUAUUUUAGCUAACUCAACUGGUCUUAUUUUUUGCUCCAUUCCUAGCUAAUUAAAUCGGUGUCAAGUAAUAUCCAAAACACAUCCCAAAUUAAUAGAUUUAAUUAUUAAGUUUCUAUCAAUCCUCUACAAUAUGUCAAUCAACUUCUUCGCAUUGUUCAUAAAUUGAAUAUCGGAAAGAAUUUUAGAUGUUGAAUAGUGUUCAGAAACAUUCAGUUCAUAAGCAAAAAUAAUCAGCACGAAUAGUACCAAGUGAUCAUAGAAAUUAUCGAAGCAUAUAGCUUUGAUUUCGAUAGCAAAAAAUUAAGCUUUGAUUUGAUAUAUCAUAUAUCUACAACUCUAAAGCUAAAUAAUUCAUUAUCAUAGAGCUAUCAAUUAAUUACUUUUUGAUCAGACAAAAAAGAAACAACAUUCACAACUAUAAUUCCAUAAGAAGACUCGUAACUUUAAUUCCAUUAGAAGAUUAAGAGACUGAGGAAUUGCUACAAAGGGAGAAGGAAUAUAGAGAUUACCAGUGCAGAGGAGAGUUCUUAGAUCAGUCGCCAAAUUGAACCGAGA